GACGAACCGUGCGAACGUUAUUCGGAAUCACUGGGCUUAAAGGGCGCGUAGGCGGGCUCGCAAGUCAGGGGUGAAAGCCUCCAGCUCAACUGGAGAAGUGCCUUUGAUACUGUGAGUCUAGAGGGAGGUAGGGGCGUGCGGAACUUCCGGUGGAGCGGUGAAAUGCGUAGAUAUCGGAAGGAACACCGGUGGCGAAAGCGGCGCGCUGGACCUCUUCUGACGCUGAGGCGCGAAAGCGUGGGGAGCAAACAGG
rnacentral:rRNA from 1 species